UUGUACCUUAGUUACCAGCACGUUAUGGUGGGCACUCUAAGGAGACUGCCGGUGACGAAACCGGAGGAAGGUGGGGAUGACGUCAAGUCAUCAUGGCCCUUACGGCCUGGGCUACACACGUGCUACAAUGGUCGGUACAAAGGGUUGCCAAGCCGCGAGGUGGAGCUAAUCCCAAUAAAACCCGAUCGUAGUCCGGAUCGCAGUCUGCAACUCGACUGCGUGAAGUCGGAAUCGCUAGUAAUCGUGAAUCAGAAUGUCACGGUGAAUACGUUCCCGGGCCUU
rnacentral:rRNA from 1 species